UACGGGGGGAGCAAGCGUUGUUCGGAUUUACUGGGCGUAAAGGGCGCGUAGGCGGCCACCGCAAGUCGAUUGUGAAAUCUCCGGGCUUAACUCGGAAAGGUCAACCGAUACUGCGGGGCUAGAGUGCAGAAGGGGCAACUGGAAUUCUCGGUGUAGCGGUGAAAUGCGUAGAUAUCGAGAGGAACACCUGCGGCGAAGGCGGGUUGCUGGGCCGACACUGACGCUGAUGUGCGAAAGCUAGGGGAGCGAACGGG
rnacentral:rRNA from 1 species